AUUGAAAGGGGGCGGCAUGAGUGACACAUGCAAGUAGAACGGUAACAGGCCGCACGGUGCUGAAGAGGUGCGAACGGGUGAGUAAUGCAUCGGAACGUGCCCAGGGGUGGCGGAUACAGCACCGAAAGCUGCGCUAAUGCCGCAUAAAAUCACUGGAUCAAAGGGGUGGACCUGACGGCGUCGCGCGAUUGGAGCGGCCGAUGUCAGAUUAGGUAGUUGGUGGGGUAAAGGCUUACCAAGCCAACGAUCUGUAGCUGGUCUGAGAGGACGACCAGCCAGUCUGUGACUGAGACGCGGUCCAGACUCCUACGGGAGGCAGCAGUGGGGAAUUUUGGACAAUGGGCGCAAGCGUGAUCCAGCAAGUUUUCUUGCAGGAAGAAGGCCUUCGGGUUUUAAACUGCUUUUGUACGGAACGAAACGGUCCUGGUUAAUACCCGGGGCUAAUGACGGUACCGUAAGAAUAAGCACCGGCUAACUACGUGCCAGCCGCCGCGGUAAGAC
rnacentral:rRNA from 1 species